rnacentral:rRNA from 1 species
UACGUAGGGUGCGAGCGUUGUCCGGAAUUAUUGGGCGUAAAGAGCUCGUAGGCGGCCUGUCGCGUCGGAUGUGAAAGCCCGGGGCUCAACUCCGGAACUGCCUUUAAGACUGCAUCGCUUGAAUCCGGGAGAGGUGAGUGGAAUUCCGAGUGUAGAGGUGAAAUUCGUAGAUAUUCGGAAGAACACCAGUGGCGAAGGCGGCUCACUGGCCCGGUACUGACGCUGAGGUGCGAAAGCGUGGGGAGCAAACAGG